UACAGAGGGUGCGAGCGUUAAUCGGAAUUACUGGGCGUAAAGCGUGCGUAGACGGUUAUCUAAGUCGGAUGUGAAAGCCCCGGGCUCAACCUGGGAAUUGCAUUCGAGACUGAAUAGCUAGGGUGCGGUAGAGGGAAGCGGAAUUUCCGGUGUAGCGGUGAAAUGCGUAGAUAUCGGAAGGAACAUCAGUGGCGAAAGCGGCUCCCUGGACCAGCACCGACGUUCAGGCACGAAAGCGUGGGGAGCAAACAGG
rnacentral:rRNA from 1 species